rnacentral:rRNA from 1 species
CGAAAGCGUGGGGAGCGAACAGGAUUAGAUACCCUGGUAGUCCACGCCGUAAACGAUGAGUGCUAAGUGUUAGGGGGUUUCCGCCCCUUAGUGCUGCAGCUAACGCAUUAAGCACUCCGCCUGGGGAGUACGGUCGCAAGACUGAAACUCAAAGGAAUUGACGGGGGCCCGCACAAGCGGUGGAGCAUGUGGUUUAAUUCGAAGCAACGCGAAGAACCUUACCAGGUCUUGACAUCCUCUGACAAUCCUAGAGAUAGGACGUCCCCUUCGGGGGCAGAGUGACAGGUGGUGCAUGGUUGUCGUCAGCUCGUGUCGUGAGAUGUUGGGUUAAGUCCCGCAACGAGCGCAACCCUUGAUCUUAGUUGCCAGCAUUCAGUUGGGCACUCUAAGGUGACUGCCGGUGACAAACCGGAGGAAGGUGGGGGAUGACGUCAAAUCAUCAUGCCCCUUAUGACCUGGGCUACACACGUGCUACAAUGGACAGAACAAAGGGCAGCGAAACCGCGAGGUUAAGCCAAUCCCACAAAUC